AUACGGAGGGGGCAAUCGUUGUUCGGAAUUACUGGGCGUAAAGAGUACGUAGGCGGAUCGUUAAGUUAGAGGUGAAAUCCCAGGGCUCAACCCUGGAACUGCCUUUAAUACUGGCGAUCUAGAGAUCGAGAGAGGUGAGUGGAAUUUCCAGUGUAGAGGUGAAAUUCGUAGAUAUUGGAAAGAACACCAGUGGCGAAGGCGGCUCACUGGCUCGAUACUGACGCUGAGGUACGAAAGCGUGGGGAGCAAACAGGAUUAGAAACCCUAGUAGUCC
rnacentral:rRNA from 1 species